AACGUCGCAAGACCAAAGAGGGGGACCUUCGGGCCUCUUGCCAUCGGAUGUGCCCAGAUGGGAUUAGCUAGUAGGUGGGGUAAAGGCUCACCUAGGCGACGAUCCCUAGCUGGUCUGAGAGGAUGACCAGCCACACUGGAACUGAGACACGGUCCAGACUCCUACGGGAGGCAGCAGUGGGGAAUAUUGCACAAUGGGCGCAAGCCUGAUGCAGCCAUGCCGCGUGUAUGAAGAAGGCCUUCGGGUUGUA
rnacentral:rRNA from 1 species